UACGUAGGGGGCAAGCGUUAUCCGGAUUUACUGGGUGUAAAGGGAGCGUAGACGGCAGCGCAAGUCUGGAGUGAAAUGCCGGGGCCCAACCCCGGAACUGCUUUGGAAACUGUGCAGCUCGAGUGCAGGAGAGGUAAGCGGAAUUCCUAGUGUAGCGGUGAAAUGCGUAGAUAUUAGGAGGAACACCAGUGGCGAAGGCGGCUUACUGGACUGUAACUGACGUUGAGGCUCGAAGGCGUGGGGAGCAAACAGG
rnacentral:rRNA from 1 species